rnacentral:rRNA from 1 species
CCUACGGGCGGCAGCAGUGAGGAAUAUUGGUCAAUGGACGAGAGUCUGAACCAGCCAAGUAGCGUGAAGGAUGACUGCCCUAUGUGUUGUAAACUUCUUUUAUAUGGGAGUAAAAUGUUGCACGUGUGGGAUUUUGUAUGUACCAUAUGAAUAAGGAUCGGCUAACUCCGUGCCAGCAGCCGCGGUAAUACGGAGGAGCCGAGCGUUAUCCGGAGUUAUUGGGUUUAAAGGGAGCGUAGGUGGAUUGUUAAGUCAGUUGUGAAGGGUUGCGGCUCAACCGUAAAAUUGCAGUUGAAACUGGCAGGCUUGAGUACAGUAGAGGUGAGUGGAAUUCGUGGUGUAGCGGUGAAAUGCUUAGAUAUUACGAAGAACUCCGAUGGCGAAGGCAGCUCACUGGACUGCAACUGACACUGAGGCUCGAAAGUGUGGGUAUCAAACAGGAUUAGAUACCCUUGUAGUC